UCAUGAAGCCUGGACGAUCAUGUUAACCCCUGAAUGGCAGUGCUUUUUUCUCGUUGUUUAACAUUAUUAAGUAUCAUUCCUUCCGUUCAGGAUGUCAGUUGUAUGCCCUAUUAACUGCUCCAUAUGCCUUCUAUUUCAGCUGCUUCACCAUUGAGGUUCUUGAAGGAUUUGAUGUCCAAAGAACCACUGGGUAUGCUGACACUGAAAAGAAAUACGGCCACCUCACGGGCUCUAUAAUUGAUUACAACCGCAGAAACUUCUCUGCUGGUGCUGAUACCUCUCGACUUUGCCUGAUCUACGACGAGUUUGUGAAGAGGUGUUCUGACCUUGAGAAGGUCACUAUGAGCGAUAUAUUCGCCCUUCAGCUUAUGAAGGUAACUGGCCGAAUACGGCCACCUCCACCAAAGUUUGCCGGGUAGUCCAUUUCAUGCAGUAGUUUUCUCAUUUAUUGUGCAUGUAAAUCAGGUGCCACAAGUGACGGAUGAAGCUGCUCUUGCUGUCACGAGUCUCUACCCCACCCUUCUCUCGCUUGCUAAGGCGUACACCAUGCUUGUGAGUCCUCUUUUCCUUUCAACUUGUACAAUGUUCUUUACAUAUACAACUUAUACAAUCUUACUUACUCAUUGGAACAGUUGUGACCAGUGUAUGUACACACACAUCCUUACCUGCUCCUCGCGCAAUUGAUGUACAGAACAAUUCAGCAUGUUUGUAGAAUUAAAAGUUUAUCCUUGUAACUUUGAAGGAUCGCGAUAGGCGUGCCCAGGAGGAGAUGCUGAAGAACAAGAGCGACAUGGUCAACGCAGGAGCUAGCAAGAACAUCUUCAAGCUCAUCUGGGCGGAAGGAUGAACACCCCGUACUUAGCCGGUCUUUUGGUCACCAUCGCGGUGAUUUCGGAUCACCUACGCAAGUUCCCAAGGUGAAGACAGGAGGGACCCUUUUUGUGCUGUGCCUGGUGCCUGGUGCCUUGGAGAACCGAAAGUCACUGAACAUGUAACCACCACCUAAAAGAACGCCUUGGCGUAGCCUCACUCCCCGUUUAAAUUACUAGUACGUCCUAGAAUUGCAUGCCGCAAAUUAUGGAGUCGUCGUGUUAAUGUAGUGCAUUAGCGCUUCGUGUGUAUAUAUAUAAUAUACCAAUAUGUUGGGAUAUCCUCCUCAUGUGGGCUAUGAGGAGAUGACCAUUUGAGGCCUUUUAGGCAGCCCAAAGAGGUGCAUAAGCCCACUACCCAUUAGGGUUAUGACCUAGGGUCAUUUUGGACUUUGCACAUGUGUAGAUGGGGAUGCUUUACCCUCCAUCCAGCAGCCACCACCAAGAGUGACGAAAAUCAGUUCAUCCUCCAAGAGAGAAGAAGAGAGAAAACCAAGAGAGCAAGGGAAGAAGAGGAAGAUUGAAGGAAGAAGCAAGGGAGCUCCUCCCCAAGGUUGUGAUGGUCCAGAUCCACUACCUUGUCUCCUUCAAGCUUCAGUUCCACCAUCUUUGGUGAGAUUGUUCCAAUCCCUACUUCUUGAGCCCCAAAUCUUGUUGUGUUCAUCCAAGAUUCAGAAAUCUUGAUGUACGAGAUCCUCUAGUGCUGUCUAGAGAAGAACUUGUUGUAUCCCACGUUUGAUAAUAGUGGAAGAGGAUUUGGGUGGCUUCGGCCCGUGGUUUUUCCCCUCAAGUUGAGGGGUUUUCCACGUAAAAAUCUGGUGUCUCUUUGUUGAUGCUUGAUGCUGUCAGGAAAACUUACUCCUACCACAAGACACUAGGCUGCGGAGUGUCUUGCCUGCAGAGUAACAUUUUCUGCCUCCAUAUAUGCUGCUGCAUAUGUUUCCUUCCAUGCUAAGCAACAAUCCUUGAAUUAGUACAGGAUGUGGUGCUGAGAUUACUUGUUUCCGUUGCAGUUUUUAGUUAACCACAAGUGUAUUUUGUGUGCUAAUUCCCAACAGAGUGGCAUCAGAGCCUUGGUUGCUUAGAAGGUUGCAAAUUCCAGUUGCUUGAUUGUUGCUGGAAGUGCUGCUCACAAUGGCUUUGGAAGAAAGCGCUACUACAAGUGGCAUGAUAAAACUUGAUUCUUCCAAUUACUCGUUAUGGAAGCCCAUGAUGGAAGACAUCCUUUAUUGCAAGGAUUUGUAUGAGCCAAUUGUCAAAGACAAGAUACCCACAGGUGUCACGGAAGAAGAAUGGAGAGUGUUGCACAGAAAGGCAGUAGGUAUGAUUCGGUUACAUCAACCACAAUAUUUUCCACCAUGUUGCAAAUGACACAAAUGCAUAUGAGAUGUGGCAGAAGUUGGAGUCUAUGUAUGAGAGGAAGACAUCAAUGAACAAGGGCUCGGUGAUCAAAAUACUUGCAAAGCUUGAGUACCGAGAUGGCACAAGUGUGAUUGAGCACUUAAAUGUCUUGCAAUGCCAUAUAAGUCAACUUUCAGCCAUGAAGAUCAACUUUGAGGAUGAGGUGCAAGCAUUGUUGCUGCUGAGUUCCAUGCCUGAUAGUUGGAACACGCUUGUUGUGUCACUUAGCAAUUCAGCUCCGGAUGGGAAGCUGACUUUGGAGAUGGUGAAGAACAGUAUGCUGAAUGAAGAAGCCAAAAAGAAGGAAAAGGGUGAUGCCUCUUCUUCUGAUGCGUAUGUGGCUGAAACCCAUGGGAAGAAUGAGAACCGUGGAAGCAGCAAUACAAGAUUUUAGCAAGGCAAAAGCAAACCCAGGGGGAGAUCAAAGUCAAAACAGAGAAAAGAUAUUACUUGCUUUCAUUGUGGCAAUCUGGGACACAUAAAGAGCGAGUGCAGGAAGUACAAAAGAGAGCUUGCAGAUGGGAAGCUCACAAAGAAAACCGAGCAAAAGGCUGAGAGCAGUUCAGCCAUGACCGCAACAGAUGAGGACUAUCUAGUCAUUGAAGAUGAAGAUUGCUAUAGUGCUGUUCUUGAUGAUGCCAUGAGUUGGGUUGUGGAUUCAGGAGCGUCCUUCCACAUCACAUCACACAAGGAGUAUUUCACAUCUUACAGUAGUGGUGUUACUGGCCAAGUGAGGAUGGGAAAUAGUGGUUCGUCAGCAAUUGUUGGCAAGGGCUCUAUAUGCAUUGAAACAAACACAGGUUGCAGAUUGGUGCUCGAUGAUGUGAGGCAUGUUCCCGACAUAAGGCUGAAUUUGUUGUCAGUGGGCAAGCUUGAUGAUAUCAAACAUCCUAGUUAUUUUGGUGAAGGAAAAUGGAAGCUCACCAAAGGCUCUUUGAUUGUGGCUCGAGGAAGUAAGCAAGGUAAUCUCUAUGUGACUAAAACCAAGUUGUGCAAUGAGGUGUGGAAUGUUGCUGAAAAAGACACUUCGGUUGAAUUGUGGCACAAGAGGCUUAGGCAUAUGAGUGAGAAGGGCAUGCAUGCUCUUGCUCGCAUUGAGUACCUCCCUGAGUUGAAAGGUAUAUCCUUGAAACCCUGUGCACAUUGUUUUGCUGGCAAACAACAUAGGGUUGCAUUUCGUACACUUCCUCCACAUCGUGCAGAAAAUGUUCUUGAUAUUGUGCACACUGACGUUUGCUCCAUGACUGAAAAAUCUCAUGGUGGAGCAUUAGGUUUUUGUGUAUGUGCUGAAACACAAAUACCAAACGUUUGAAGCCUUCAAGGAGUUCCAUGCCAAGGUUGAAAGAGAAACUGGCAGGAAAUUGAAGUGCGUGAGAUCAGACAAUGGUGGUGAAUACAGAGGUCCUUUUGAAAGGUAUUGCAGAAAUGUUGGCAUCAGGCUUGAGAAGAGUCCACCAAAGACACCCCAGCUCAAUGGUCUUGCAGAGAGAAUGAACAGGACACUCACAGAGAGGGUCACAGCUAUGCUCUCUCAUGCUCAUUUACCUAAUUCAUUUUGGGCUGAAGCAUUGAUGAAUGCUAUGUAUGUGGUUAACCUAUCUCCCUCAGUUCCUCUUGCAGGUGAUAUUCCUCAGAGAGUUUGGUCAGGGAAGGAGGUAUCAUACAAGCACUUGAAGGUUUUUGGUUGCAGGGCAUUUGUACAUGUUCCAAGGGACGAGAGAUCCAAGCUUGAUAGUAAGACAAAGCAGUGCAUCUACCUCAGCCAACCAAGUGAAGAGUUUGGCUACAGGUUGUGGGAUCCAGCCAAUAGAAAGAUUGUGAGAAGUCGAGAUGUGGUGUUCAUUGAAGAUGAAACAGUAAAAGAUAUUGGGAAACCAGAGAAGCCAAUGACCAGCACACCUCAGGUUGAUAUGGAUCCAAUUCUUCCUCCUCUCCUGCAUGACAAUCAUGGGGGAGAUGAUGACACUGAAGACAGUGGAGAUGCAACUGAUCAAGGCAAUACAAGUCAAAGUGGCAAGCAGCCAUCAAGUGAUGAUGAUGAUGAAGUUGGUAAUGAUGAUGCCAACGAAAAUCCACCUGAUUCACCACCAGUGCAGCAGCAAAGAAGAAGUGAAAGAGGUCACAUUCCUUCUUCUAAAUAUCCACCACAUCAAUAUGUGUUGAUGACAGAUGCAGGUGAGCCCUCAUGCUAUGAGGAGGCAAUGUCUGAUGAGAACAAGGAAGAAUGGUCAGAAGCCAUGCAAGAUGAGAUGAAUUCCCUGUAUGAGAAUGAUACUUUUGAGUUGGUGAAUCUGCCAAAAGGCAAGAAAGCACUCAAGAACAAGUGGGUGUACAGAGUGAAGACUGAAGAAAACACCUCACAUCCAAGGUACAAGGCUAGAUUGGUUGUGAAAGGAUUCAGUCGCAAAAAGGGCAUUGAUUAUAGUGAGAUAUUCUCUCCAGUGGUCAAGAUGUCUUCGAUCCGAGUUGUGCUUGGCAUGGCUGCCACCAUGGACUUGGAAAUUGAACAACUUGAUGUGAAGACAUCUUUCAUGCAUGGUGACCUAGAGGAGGAGAUAUACAUGGAGCAGCUAGAGGGAUUCAUGGUUGCAGGCAAGGAGCACUUAGUUCGCAAAUUGAAGAAGAGCUUGUAUGGCUUGAAGCAAGCUCCUCGGCACUGGUACAAGAAGUUUGAGUCUUUUAUGACUGGGCUUGGUUACCAUAAAGCACAACCUGACCAUUGUGUCUUUAUGAAGAGGUACGCCGAGGGUGACUUCAUUAUUCUCUUGUUGUAUGUUGAUGAUAUGCUGAUUGUUGGAAAUGGCACAAAGAGGAUUGCUCUUCUCAAGAAGGCAUUGAGUAAAUCAUUUGCCAUGAAGGAUUUAGGACCAGCUAAGCAAAUACUUGGCAUGAAGAUCUCCCAUGAUAGAUCAAAGAAGCUGCUUUGGCUCUCACAGGAAAGAUACAUUGAGAAGGUACUUGAAAGGUUCAAUAUGAAAGAUGCAAAAUCUGUUAUCUCUCCGCUUGUAGGCCAUCACAAACUGAAUUCUAAACAAUGUCCUACAAGCAAGAAGGAGAAAGAAGAAAUGAGGAAAGUACCUUACCAAUCUGCUGUGGGCAGUUUGAUGUAUGCCAUGGUAUGCACUAGGCCUGACAUUGCCUAUGCAGUUGAAGUUGUUAGCCGGUAUUCUACAAUGUUUUUUUCCCUUAUUCUUUGUUAUCAUUAAUUGAAAAGCAUAGCCCAUAUUUGGGUAUGAGAUGAUGAAGGACGAUGUUAUUAGCAGACAUAAGCUUGAGCCUGUAGAUUGUGCAUCUCUUCCCAAAGAGUAUUUCUUGUCCAUAUAUAGGGGUUUGCUGUGGUUAUUUUAGCAACAAUACGACGUGAUACCUCCAUUUGUUGUAUCCUUUGCAGAAAUGUGGGCUAAGGAAGCUAAUAUAUCUAGUUGAAGGGGAUGUAAACACUAUAGAUGGAUCAGAGAGCGUUAAAACAGUGUAUGUACUCUUCUCAUGAAGCCUGGACGAUCAUGUUAACCCCUGAAUGGCAGUGCUUUUUUCUCGUUGUUUAACAUUAUGAAGUAUCAUUCCUUCCGUUCAGGAUGUCAGUUGUAUGCCCUAUUAACUGCUCCAUAUGCCUUCUAUUUCAGCUGCUUCACCACUGAGGUUCUUGAAGGAUUUGAUGUCCAAAGAACCACUGGGUAUGCUGACACUAAAUAGAAAUACGGCCACCUCACGGGCUCUAUAAUUGAUUACUACAGCAGAAACUUCUCUGCUGGUGCUGAUACCUCUCGACUUUGCCUGACCUACGACGAGUUUGUGAAGAGGUGUUCUGACCUUGAGAAGGUCACUAUGAGCGAUAUAUUCGCCCUUCAGCUUAUGCAGGUAACUGGCCGAAUACGGCCACCUCCACCAAAGUUUGCC
rnacentral:lncRNA from 1 species